rnacentral:misc_RNA from 1 species
GUAAAUAAUUAAAUUUUGUUUUCAGACGUUUGAUGCUUAUACAAAAGGGUUUAUGGGGUUCCUGUCGGCAGGCGGACCUGCCGAGGGAACAACAAAGGUGCGCAUAAUCAAGGUAAGAGUCAAGGGCUAAGCACCCCCGGAAGCGCCGCCGCAAGCGACGAGCCCCCACGAGCGGCCCAAGGCCAGGUAAUGAUCCUUCCGCAGGUUCACCUACGGAAA